GCACCCGUAGCUCAGCUGGAUAGAGCGCUGCCCUCCGAAGGCAGAGGCCGCACGUUCGAAUCGUGCCGGGUGCACCA
rnacentral:tRNA from 1 species